GACGAACGCUGGCGGCGUGCCUAAUACAUGCAAGUAGAACGCUGAAGCGAGGAGCUUGCUCUUCUUGGAUGAGUUGCGAACGGGUGAGUAACGCGUAGGUAACCUGCCUUGUAGCGGGGGAUAACUAUUGGAAACGAUAGCUAAUACCGCAUAACAAUGGAUGACACAUGUCAUUUAUUUGAAAGGGGCAAUUGCUCCACUACAAGAUGGACCUGCGUUGUAUUAGCUAGUAGGUGAGGUAAUGGCUCACCUAGGCGACGAUACAUAGCCGACCUGAGAGGGGGAUCGGCAACCCUGGGACUGAGACACGGCCCAGACUCCUACGGGAGGCAGAAGUGGGAAUCUUCGGCAAUGGGGGCAACCCUGACCGAGCAACGCCGCGUGAGUGAAGAAGGUUUUCGGAUCGUAAAGCUCUGUUGUAAGUCAAGAACGGGUGUGAGAGUGGAAAGUUCACACUGUGACGGUAGCUUACCAGAAAGGGACGGCUAACUACGU
rnacentral:rRNA from 1 species